GACGAACGCUGGCGGCGUGCUUAACACAUGCAAGUCGAACGGAAAGGCCCUGCUUUUGUGGGGUGCUCGAGUGGCGAACGGGUGAGUAACACGUGAGUAACCUGCCCUUGACUUUGGGAUAACUUCAGGAAACUGGGGCUAAUACCGGAUAGGAGCUCCUGCUGCAUGGUGGGGGUUGGAAAGUUUCGGCGGUUGGGGAUGGACUCGCGGCUUAUCAGCCUGUUGGUGGGGUAGUGGCUUACCAAGGCUUUGACGGGUAGCCGGCCUGAGAGGGUGACCGGCCACAUUGGGACUGAGAUACGGCCCAGACUCCUACGGGAGGCAGAAGUGGGGGAUAGUGCACAAUGGGCGGAAGCCUGAUGCAGCAACGCCGCGUGCUGGAUGACGGCCUUCGGGUUGUAAACCGCUUUCGCCUGUGACGAAGCGUGAGUGACGGUAAUGGGUAAAGAAGCACCGGCUAACUACGUG
rnacentral:rRNA from 1 species